rnacentral:rRNA from 1 species
AUGGCGUCGCCGGCAUUCGCAGUUUCCGCGGCGGGCCUCGCCCGGCCGUCGGCUCCUCGAUCCGGCGGGCCAGAGCGGAGGGGGCGCGGGGUGGAGCUGCAGUCGCCAUCGCUGCUCUUCGGCCGCAACAAGGGCACCCGUUCACCCCGUGCCGUCGGCGUCGGAGGUUCUGGAUGGCGCGUGGUCAUGCGCGCGGGUGGGCCGUCCGGGGAGGUGAUGAUCCCUGACGGCGGUAGUGGCGGAACACCGCCUUCCAUCGACGGUCCCGUUCAGUUCGACUCUGAUGAUCUGAAGGUUCCAUUCAUCGAUGAUGAAACAAGCCUACAGGAUGGAGGUGAAGAUACUAUUUGGUCUUCAGAGACAAAUCAGGUUACUGAAGAAAUUGAUGCUGAAGGCACGAGCAGAAUGGACAAAGAAUCAUCUACGGGAGAGAAAUUACGCAUUCUGCCACCACCGGGAAAUGGACAGCAAAUAUACGAGAUUGACCCAACGCUCCGAGACUUUAAGUACCAUCUUGAGUAUCGAUACAGCCUAUAUAGGAGAAUACGUUCAGACAUUGAUGAACACAAAGGAGGCAUGGAUGUAUUUUCCCGCGGUUACGAGAAGUUUGGAUUUGUGCGCAGCGCUGAAGGUAUCACUUACCGAGAAUGGGCUCCUGGAGCAGAUUCUGCAGCAUUAGUUGGCGACUUCAACAAUUGGGAUCCAAAUGCAGACCAUAUGAGCAAAAAUGACUUGGGUAUUUGGGAGAUUUUUCUGCCAAACAAUGCAGACGGUUCGCCACCAAUUCCUCACGGCUCACGGGUGCGAAUGGGUACUCCAUCUGGGACAAAGGAUUCAAUUCCUGCUUGGAUCAAGUACUCCGUGCAGACUCCAGGAGAUAUACCAUACAAUGGAAUAUAUUAUGAUCCUCCCGAAGAGGAGAAGUAUGUAUUCAAGCAUCCUCAACCUAAACGACCAAAAUCAUUGCGGAUAUAUGAAACACAUGUUGGCAUGAGUAGCCCGGAACCAAAGAUCAACACAUAUGCAAACUUUCGGGAUGAGGUGCUUCCAAGAAUUAAAAGACUUGGGUACAAUGCAGUGCAAAUAAUGGCAAUCCAAGAGCACUCAUACUAUGGAAGCUUUGGGUACCAUGUUACCAAUUUCUUUGCACCAAGUAGCCGUUUUGGGUCCCCAGAAGAUUUAAAAUCUUUGAUUGAUAGAGCUCACGAGCUUGGCUUGGUUGUCCUCAUGGAUGUUGUUCACAGUCACGCGUCAAAUAAUACCUUGGACGGGUUGAAUGGUUUUGAUGGCACGGAUACACAUUACUUUCAUGGCGGUUCACGGGGCCAUCAUUGGAUGUGGGAUUCCCGUGUGUUCAACUACGGGAAUAAGGAAGUUAUAAGGUUUCUACUUUCCAAUGCAAGAUGGUGGCUAGAGGAGUAUAAGUUUGAUGGUUUCCGAUUCGACGGCGCGACCUCCAUGAUGUAUACCCACCAUGGAUUACAAGUAACCUUUACAGGGAGCUACCAUGAAUACUUUGGCUUUGCCACUGAUGUAGAUGCGGUCGUUUACUUGAUGCUGGUGAAUGAUCUAAUUCAUGGGUUUUAUCCCGAAGCGGUAACUAUCGGUGAAGAUGUUAGUGGAAUGCCUACAUUUGCCCUUCCUGUUCAAGUUGGUGGAGUUGGUUUUGACUAUCGCUUACAUAUGGCUGUUGCCGACAAAUGGAUUGAACUUCUCAAAGGAAAUGAUGAAGCUUGGGAGAUGGGUAAUAUUGUGCACACACUAACAAAUAGAAGGUGGUUGGAAAAGUGUGUUACUUAUGCUGAAAGUCACGAUCAAGCACUGGUUGGAGACAAGACUAUUGCAUUCUGGUUGAUGGACAAGGAUAUGUAUGAUUUCAUGGCUCUGAACGGACCUUCGACACCUAAUAUUGAUCGUGGAAUAGCACUGCAUAAAAUGAUUAGACUUAUCACAAUGGGUUUAGGAGGAGAGGGUUAUCUUAACUUUAUGGGAAAUGAGUUCGGGCAUCCUGAAUGGAUAGACUUUCCAAGAGGCCCACAAGUACUUCCAACUGGUAAGUUCAUCCCAGGAAACAACAACAGUUACGACAAAUGCCGUCGAAGAUUUGACCUGGGUGAUGCAGAAUUUCUUAGGUAUCAUGGUAUGCAGCAGUUUGAUCAGGCGAUGCAGCAUCUUGAGGAAAAAUAUGGCUUUAUGACAUCAGACCACCAGUACGUAUCUCGGAAACAUGAGGAAGAUAAGGUGAUCGUGUUUGAAAAAGGGGACUUGGUAUUUGUGUUCAACUUCCACUGGAGUAAUAGCUAUUUCGACUACCGGGUUGGCUGUUUAAAGCCUGGGAAGUACAAGGUUGUCUUAGACUCAGACGCCGGACUCUUUGGUGGAUUUGGUAGGAUCCAUCACACUGCAGAGCACUUCACUUCUGACUGCCAACAUGACAACAGGCCCCAUUCGUUCUCAGUGUACACUCCUAGCAGAACCUGUGUUGUCUAUGCUCCAAUGAACUAA